rnacentral:lncRNA from 10 species
GGCUCCGACACUGCGCGCUCGGCUGCCGGGCUGGGACAGAGCACCCGGACCCGCGGCGGCAGCGGCAGCGACGCUACCCACCCUCUUCCCCAACACCCACCUAGCCAGCGAGUCACCGAGCCACCGGCCCUCGGGACGCCGAAAGAAGCCUGUUUGUGUGCUGCGGCCGUGCUGUGACUUUGGAUCUUGUCUUUCAGCCGGCGCCUCGGUUCCUGCCCAGCUGGAUUUGGGGGGCAGCAUUGCCUGGCGCAGGGAGAUCAAAUGAGACUGCAAAGAAGCAUAAAAUGAAUAGACAAUCCAACCAACCAAAGACCGGGGGCAGCAGCAGGCCAGCAAGACGGCAUCUUCUCCUUCCCAGCCUAGAAGCCCUGUGAAAUCGAGGAUCUUCCCCCUAAAACACAUACACACAAGAUAUGUGCAAUCAAGCUGCCACCGCUUGGUAAAAAGCCAUGGUGCCUAACCAAAAAGGAUCAGGAACAGAUCCUUGAAUCAGCUGUCACUUCUAUAGAAUGGGAUUUUUUUUUCCUUCCUCCUUAACCUGCGCUGGAAAUUGCCGUUGGCUUUAUACAUCUCUAUAGAGAGAGGCUAAAGAGUCUUGCGUGAGAAAGAAGCAAUUUACAAUGCAAAUAGAGGCCUGUGAAGGGACGGAUGCUGCUGCUCACUCGUAACAGCUUGCUGCACCUUAAUAGCUGGUUUUAUUUUCUGAUAUUAAUAGAUGAAUUGUUGGCUAACGCUGCCGGAGAUUACUUGCUGAAAGGAAAAAGAAAAGUUCGGAAUAAACUCUGAAGGCAACAGAUCUCGUUUGGAUGUUUUAGCCGCGCACACACACAAACAGAAACCAGGUCAUAUUUACAUAAAAGGAGGAAUCUUAAGCGCGGCAAGUAUCCUGGACGACCACUCUUCGGUACUGCCAGAAAGGAUCAGGACCUGGAGUCUGGCAAGAGGAAGACAGAGGCCUGUGUGGGAAGCGAGUUGUUAUCUUUGGUUAUCUAGCUGUAUGAGUGUAUUGGUCUUCAUAAAGCUAGAUAACCGAAAGUAAAAACUCCUUCAAGAUCGCCGGGGAGCGUGUGAGAAUGAAAGACUACAGCCGAGAGACAGUAAAAACCAGAAAGGUCAGGAAUACUUAUUGAAUCUAACUUUGUUUUUGUUUUGUUUUUUUCCUUAUGAUUAAAGGUGGGAUGAGAGAAAAUUAAAUGACACACACAUGCUAAAAUAUCAAGGUUCCAGAUAUGUCUUGAGAGGGGUUGUUGCAGCUGCAAAGGAGAAGUGUAUAGUGAUAAUGAGUAAAGAUGCAUGUGCAGUUUGUUCUAUUUUAAGGCAAAAGUUAUAUCAGGGAUUUUUUUCUUAGAAAGGUGUUGCAGAGAUGUCUGGUACCUAGUUUAAAAAUGAUUCCAUAAUAUGUAGACUUGGGCAGUUCCUUUGGGAGGCACCUCCCUCUCAAAAUUUGAAGAUUGUGCUUGGAAAUUACUUUACAUGUAUUUGGGCUGUAUGUCAAUUUGUACGAAAUUAGACUUUCAGAAAAGUUUAUACUGGAAGGUUAAUAAUUUGUAUCUACUGAGGACUUAGAGCUAGCAGGCAAAAUGAAAAAAAAAAAAAAAAAAGCAAGGGCUGAUUUUUAUUCUUCUAUUCAAAAUACAAGGACAGAUGCUUCUCUGUUCCAAGAGGGUUUCCUUGAGGAAGCUACUGAAGCAGAAAGACAUGAUGGAGACGAGAUCGCCUCCCCUCUUGUCAAAGUGUUAAAAAAAUGUUCUGUCUUACUCUGCGCCUAGCAUUGGAAAUGAAAGUGACAUUUACGCCACAACCCACGUGUGCGCCUCCUCUCUUUUUGUUUAAGGAUGAUCAGGUCUAUCCAGGAAACAGCUCUGGCAUCCCAAACUGAAAUAAUUAGGACGUAUAUAGACCUGACAAAAAUGGAAAGGGGGUGGGGAAUCUGAGGGUCUGUCUUGCCUAAUUGAUUCCGCUAAACGGAAUGCAGGAGAUGUGAACGGCAGGACGCUCCGAUUCCCACGCUCGGGGGCAAGUGAUAAAGCGGGGCCGGGCAGCCUAUGACAGACAGCCCUGUUGGGGGGUGGGGGUAUGAAAAAAACAUCAAGUGCACACACCAUACUCAUCUCCAUCGCUUAAGAAAGUAAAGGCAUUUCCCACCCACAGCCAUCUGCAGCUUCCCAAAUGGCAGCACCAACUGGUCUGUAGCUGCUACAUAGUCUGCUUCUGUUAAUUUUUUAACCACUGUUUAAUCUGGCCAUAAUUAAGUUUGGCUUUCUUCGUUGUUUGAGAUUUUCAGAAUUCAAGGCAAGCUAGUAGAAAGCAAUUCCAAGAAAGUCCCAUGACUGCCUGCCCCUAAUGUCAAAAUCUCAGUCCAUGAGAUUAUGGCCUUGUGACCACAUUUUUGCUUUUGUUUUGGGUGGGCAAAUGUGUAUAGAGAUAAAAUACAUAUCUCUAUAUAACAGUCGUUAUUAUAAUUUCAUGAGGCUUUUUACCUCUUAACAUGAUACAUCUAGGAACUUGGUCUAAUUGUGCUAGUAGAUAUACACUAGAAGUAAAACUAUAAAGUCAUUAGCCUGUAGAAAGUUGAUUAUGAUAACAAUAUGAUAAAAAGUUUGUUUUGGAAUAGUCUCAGCUAGAUGGGUCUAAAUAGCCAUUUUAAUGUAAUCUAAAAAUAACACUAUGCCUAGCAGAAACUUUGGCGCUUUGGAGGUCCCCAUUGUCGCCUUUUCAUAAAAGUCCUUAAGUUUUCCAUAUGUCACCAAGCAAACAUUUGUAUAGGCAUUUACACAGAAAUAUAACCAUUGCAAUUAGAAAAUAUCCAAAAUAGCCUGUUAUCUUCCACGUGGCCUAGAUUAUUGACAAUCCCAAAUAUACAAUUUUUCUUUAAAAGUAGUACAAUUUCCUUUGUAGCUUCAAUUCCUUAUAUGACUUCAGACUGGAGAAGCCUGUUAAACCACUGUUAGUUUCAGUUAGAAAGUCUGAGAGACUUUAUACAUAAAUUCUCAAUUUGGCUGCUGUACACGUGCCAGAGUUUUACUACUGUAGUGACCGUUGAGAAGACCCUUGUUUAUUUACAUUUGAAGCACUGUUUGUGCAAACAACCUUUCAUUGUUAAGUGCCUGUAUUCCUUUCAUUUACUUCAUGUCCAGGGGUGCUAUUUACCUAGAACCAUUGUCUACUACAAUUAACAUUUACAUUACAAAGUGUGUGGUUUUCUUUUUCAAGGAGGUUCAAUUAAGGCAAUAAGAUGUUUGCUGGAGAAACCUAUUGUUUACUGAAAGCACUCAAUGAAGUCAAAUUACUGAAGCUUUUGCCUACAUCUUGGUCUUUUAUGUAAAUAUGUUAAAUAUAACAUCUAAGGAAAAUAAACAAUAUUAUAAUUAUGUGUUUGCCAUUGUCAUAUCAAACUUGCUUUGUAUCAUACUAAUGUUACAUAACUUAUCGAUCAAUAAAAAUACAUUUCAAUGUUAUUAUUUUCAUUUUAUUUUUUGCUGUUCCACUGCCCUUGGUGCAACAUGUCCCAAUUUUUCUUUUUUCUAUUACACAUCAAACUUCUGAC